rnacentral:rRNA from 1 species
GAUGAACGCUGGCGGCGUGCCUAAUACAUGCAAGUCGAGCGAACGGACGAGAAGCUUGCUUCUCUGAUGUUAGCGGCGGACGGGUGAGUAACACGUGGAUAACCUACCUAUAAGACUGGGAUAACUUCGGGAACCGGAGCUAAUACCGGAUAAUAUUUUGAACCGCAUGGUUCAAAAGUGAAAGACGGUCUUGCUGUCACUUAUAGAUGGAUCCGCGCUGCAUUAGCUAGUUGGUAAGGUAACGGCUUACCAAGGCAACGAUGCAUAGCCGACCUGAGAGGGUGAUCGGCCACACUGGAACUGAGACACGGUCCAGACUCCUACGGGAGGCAGCAGUAGGGAAUCUUCCGCAAUGGGCGAAAGCCUGACGGAGCAACGCCGCGUGAGUGAUGAAGGUCUUCGGAUCGUAAAACUCUGUUAUUAGGGAAGAACAUAUGUGUAAGUAACUGUGCACAUCUUGACGGUACCUAAUCAGAAAGCCGCGGCUAACUACGUG